rnacentral:rRNA from 1 species
GACGAACGCUGGCGGCGUGCCUAAUACAUGCAAGUUGAGCGCUGAAGGUUGGUACUUGUACCAACUGGAUGAGCAGCGAACGGGUGAGUAACGCGUGGGGAAUCUGCCUUUGAGCGGGGGACAACAUUUGGAAACGAAUGCUAAUACCGCAUAAAAACUUUAAACACAAGUUUUAAGUUUGAAAGAUGCAAUUGCAUCACUCAAAGAUGAUCCCGCGUUGUAUUAGCUAGUUGGUGAGGUAGAGGCUCACCAAGGCGAUGAUACAUAGCCGACCUGAGAGGGUGAUCGGCCACAUUGGGACUGAGACACGGCCCAAACUCCUACGGGAGGCAGCAGUAGGGAAUCUUCGGCAAUGGACGAAAGUCUGACCGAGCAACGCCGCGUGAGUGAGGAAGGUUUUCGGAUCGUAAAACUCUGUUGGUAGAGAAGAACGUUGGUGAGAGUGGAAAGCUCAUCAAGUGACGGUAACUACCCAGAAAGGGACGGCUAACUACGUG